AUGGGGUUUUUGGGGUGGGUUCCGGGACGUCUGGGGUCCCGGAGGGUGCGGAGGAACCGCUCCCUUGCGGCGACUCCGUACCCAAGAUGGCGCCGACCACGCCGGCCGUUUUCACAAUGGCCAUGGCGGCGCCCGAAACAACUCCGGAAGGGAUGGCGGAAGUUGCCUCAUCUGGGGAGGGCGCCGCCAUAUUAUCCCCGCCUAUACCCCUGUUUGCAGAGCUUUCGUUCACCUGAGGGGGGUGGGUCCUGUCCGAGGGAGGGAGAGUCAUGGGGGGAGGCGCGCCGUGGAGGCGUUAAGCCACCCCUAGACCCGCCCCCGGAGGAGGGACCUCAUCCCGCGAAAGGGGAGGAACGAAAGGUACUGCCUGCCCCUACCCCUUUGGUUUCGCCUCCCGAGGAGGGGGAGGAGAAAGGGGAGGAACAAAAGGUACUGUCUGCCUUCACCCCGUCGGUUUCGUCUCCCGCGAAGGGGGAGGAGAAAGGGGAGGAACGGAAGGAAUUGCCUGUCCCCACCCAGUCGGUCGUGGUUCCCCGGAGGAGGGGGGAGAAGUGGGAGGAGCGAGAGAUAUCGCGUAAGCCCACUGAUUGGACUGACAUUUGCGAUACAAUGCGAGAGGUGGGGCUCAAGGAGCGGGACUGGGCGGUGUUCCCAAUUGUAGUCAAACAGGAGGGACCGGUUUGGGUACCUUUGGAAGAAAAAGGAAAAAGAACAGAUAAAGAACUGCUGCUAGUACCAACGAGAAGGACAUCUGUUGUAUCACUUGCUGUGUGUCUUUGUGUAAUUGCAUUCAUUACCGGGAGAGGGUACUCACUUAACAUCACAACCAGAAAAUAUUUGGGUUACAUGGUCUAAUCGACCACAGCAGUCCUGUCGGAACUCCUGAUGGACGUUAACAACAUCAGACACGCUGUUCUUCAAAAUAGAGCUGCAAUUGACUUUCUGCUGCUUGCUCAAGGGCACGGGUGCAAGGACUUUGAAGGGAUGUGUUGUUUCAAUCUGAGCGACCACAGCGAUUCGAUACAUAGGAAGUUGGAAUGGAUGCAAGAACACACGAAGAAGAUCGCAAUAGAUGAUGCAUUCGGAAGCUGGUUGGAGGGACUGUUUGGUAAUCUGGGCCCAUGGCUUAAGCAGUUUCUCAAAGUAUUAAUCAUAGGUAUUUUAUUCUUUUUAGCUUUAAUGAUUUGCUUACCUUGUUUGUUUCAGUGUGUCCAGGGUUGUUUACAGCGUAUGAUAGAAAGAAUGUUUAACGAAAAAAGGUAUGGGACAACAAAUUUACCAACCGGGUUAUGAUAAACUUGAGAAGAACGAGGAGACUGUAUAACCAAGAGUCCUUGGAGUUGAUAAUCAUCGUAGAAAAGGCUACUUGAUGUUAAUAUAGCAUAUUUGCGCACUACCGGGACCUUCUGUAGCUUGUCUACCUCACUUUUUAGAUAACUUAUUAAGUUUAAAUUAUAGAGACUAACAUUUUUAUAUUAGGAUUAAGGAUUAGCGUUCGGGAUGUAACGGGGCAUACUUUAUCGAGCAUGGAGAGGGGGAAAUGAUGUAUUAGGAGGGCGGGCAAGAAACCACGGACGGUGUAACGCGAGGUAGGGCCGCCCCGGUGCUCCGGAAGU
rnacentral:lncRNA from 1 species